GUGUCGGUCGUCUGCAAUAAGCCUGAUUCCACACAGACAGAAGGGGUCGUGACUUUGCUGUGUCCGAUGACGAUGUGUGUGACAAUUUACCUAAACUCAAUUUCUUCAUACUACUUCAAAACUGAUGGAGUGCAAUGAUCACCAGAACCUGGAUACCGUCACGGAAUACGUCCGAGAGUUUCGAACUCUUAUGCAUCUUUGGACGACGAUAAUGAACACAGUUCUUGUUCGUUCUCGAACAAACGAGCACUGUUGUCACCUCCCUAACAUUGCGAACAAAGAACAGAACAAGAAUACACACCACCUCCACAACAAGAACAGGAAGAACCACGAUGGAGGCUCUGUGUCAAUGUAAACUGUCAAACGUGUGUACUUUUGUCACAUUGUAUUCAACUAACAACGUUAAUUUGAGAUAUUGCUAUACUGUUAUUAUUAUAAACAAAUAAGAGUUCAAUGGGUGUUUGAUAUUUUACACUGCCCACUUUUCACCUGCCUUCUAUUUAGAUGGACGCCAUGACCGUGUUCCUGUCACGUUCAUGGUGAUAGGGCGAACAUUUACAAGAACAUGUGUUAUAUUGUUCCCGAAUCAACAAUAACGUGUCGCCCAAAGACAUCCUUUGUGUAACAGUGUGUCGUCGUCACACAAUGCUUUUGAUCUAUUCCGGAUUUGAAGUAAAUAAAACAAAAAAA